rnacentral:rRNA from 1 species
AGGGUUCGAUCCUGGCUCAGGACGAACGCUGGCGGUGCGCCUUAUGCAUGCAAGUUGAGCGAAGCUUUUCAGUAGUUUACUACAGAAAAUGACUGAGCGGCGAACGGGUGAGUAACGCGUGAGCAAUCUACCUUAGUUACUGGGAUAGCCCGAGGAAACUCGGAUUAAUACCGGAUAUUCUUAUUUUUUCACAUGAAGUUUUAAGGAAAGGUCAGCCGAACUAAGAUGAGCUCGCGUUCUAUCAGCUAGUUGGUGGGGUAAAAGCCUACCAAGGCUACGACGGAUAGCUGGUCUGAGAGGACGAUCAGCCACACUGGGACUGAGACACGGCCCAGACUCCUACGGGAGGCCGCAGCAGGGAAUAUUGCGCAAUGAGCGAAAGCUUGACGCAGCGACACCGCGUGUGGGAUGACGGUUCUAGGAUUGUAAACCACUUUCAGGAGGGAAGAAAAUGACGGUACCUCCACAAGAAGACCCGGCCAACUACGUGCCAGCAGCCGCGGUAAUACA